rnacentral:rRNA from 1 species
AUGCAGGCAAUCCGGCGGCAUCCUACCCUCGCCGGCUCGUCCGAUUUUUGCUCGGGCCGGCAGGCGUCUAAUGAGCUCUGUUUCCAAAAUUCAAAGCCACUUGUUCAAGCCGUGCAUGGUGUGUGCCACGGAAUGGUCGGGGACAACCUGCCCUCGCGGAGCGACGUGGUGCAGUUGUACAAGCCCCGCAACAUCCACGCCAUGCGCAUCUACAACCCGGACCAGGAGGCCCUCGCGGCCCUCCGGGGAAGUGCGAUCUCCCUCAUCCUUGACGUCCGCGGGGUCGACGAGGUCCGGCGCCUCGCCGGCGACCCAUCAUAUGCCGCCAGCUGGGUCCGGAGCAACGUGCAGGCCUACUAUCCGGACGUCUUCAUCAGCAGCAUCAAGGUGUCAACGGCGGUGAGGUUCGACGUGAUCACCAACUCCUUCCCGCCUUCAAACGGCGUGUUCAGGGACCCUUCUGGCUUGGUGCCCAUCGCGCGCUUCCUGGACCGCACCGGCGCCCCGUUCCUGGCCAACGUCUACCCCUACUUCGCCUACAGGGACGACCGCGGCCAGAACAUCAGGCUCAACUACGCGACGUUCCAGCCCGGCACCACGGUGAGGGACAACGGCAACGGGCUGAACUAUACCAGCCUCUUCGACGCGAUGGUCGACUCCAUCUACGCCGCGCUGGAGAAGGCCGGCACGCCCAACGUCAGAGUGGUGGUGUCGGAGAGUGGGUGGCCGUCGGGGGGCGGGUUCGGGGCAUCGGUGGACAACGCGCGGAACUACAACCAGGGCCUGAUUGACCACAUCCGCAACGGCACGCCGAAACGGCCAGGGGCGAUCGAGACGUACAUAUUCGCCAUGUUCAACGAGAACAAGAAACCAGGGGAUGAGGUCGAGAGGAACUUCGGGCUCUUCUUCCCCAACAAGCAACCUGUCUACCCGACAACCUUCCCCAAUUAA